rnacentral:rRNA from 1 species
AUUGAACGCUGGCGGCAGGCCUAACACAUGCAAGUCGAGCGGCAGCGGGAAAGUAGCUUGCUACUUUUGCCGGCGAGCGGCGGACGGGUGAGUAAUGCCUGGGGAUCUGCCCAGUCGAGGGGGAUAACUACUGGAAACGGUAGCUAAUACCGCAUACGCCCUACGGGGGAAAGCAGGGGACCUUCGGGCCUUGCGCGAUUGGAUGAACCCAGGUGGGAUUAGCUAGUUGGUGAGGUAAUGGCUCACCAAGGCGACGAUCCCUAGCUGGUCUGAGAGGAUGAUCAGCCACACUGGAACUGAGACACGGUCCAGACUCCUACGGGAGGCAGCAGUGGGGAAUAUUGCACAAUGGGGGAAACCCUGAUGCAGCCAUGCCGCGUGUGUGAAGAAGGCCUUCGGGUUGUAAAGCACUUUCAGCGAGGAGGAAAGGUUGGUAGCUAAUAACUGCCAG